rnacentral:rRNA from 1 species
AUUGAACGCUGGCGGCAGGCUUAACACAUGCAAGUCGAGCGGGGUGAUGGUGCUUGCACUAUCACUUAGCGGCGGACGGGCGAGUAAUGCUUAGGAAUCUGCCUAUUAGGGGGGGACAACAUCUCGAAAGGGAUGCUAAUACCGCAUACGUCCUACGGGAGAAAGCAGGGGAUCACUUGUGACCUUGCGCUAAUAGAUGAGCCUAAGUCGGAUUAGCUAGUUGGUGGGGUAAAGGCCUACCAAGGCGACGAUCUGUAGCGGGUCUGAGAGGAUGAUCCGCCACACUGAGACUGAGACACGGCCCAGACUCCUACGGGAGGCAGCAGUGGGGAAUAUUGGACAAUGGGGGGAACCCUGAUCCAGCCAUGCCGCGUGUGUGAAGAAGGCCUUAUGGUUGUAAAGCACUUUAAGCGAGGAGGAGGCUCUUUUGGUUAAUACCCAAGAUGAGUGGACGUUACUCGCAGAAUAAGCACCGGCUAACUCUGUGCCAGCCGCCGCAGUAA